rnacentral:rRNA from 1 species
GCUACACAUGCAGUCGACGAUGAGCUGGAGCUUGCUCUGGUGGAUUAGUGGCGAACGGGUGAGUAACACGUGAGUAACCUGCCCUUGACUCUGGAAUAAGCGUUGGAAACGACGUCUAAUACCGGAUACGAGCUUCCGCCGCAUGGUGAGGAGCUGGAAAGAAUUUCGGUCAAGGAUGGACUCGCGGCCUAUCAGGUAGUUGGUGAGGUAAUGGCUCACCAAGCCUACGACGGGUAGCCGGCCUGAGAGGGUGACCGGCCACACUGGAACUGAGACACGGUCCAGACUCCUACGGGAGGCAGCAGUGGGGAAUAUUGCACAAUGGGCGCAAGCCUGAUGCAGCAACGCCGCGUGAGGGACGACGGCCUUCGGGUUGUAAACCUCUUUUAGUAGGGAAGAAGCGAAAGUGACGGUACCUGCAGAAAAAGCACCGGCUAACUACGUGCCAGCAGCCGCGGUAAUACGUAGGGUGCAAGCGUUAUCCGGAAUUAUUG